rnacentral:rRNA from 1 species
AUGCGUCUUCUUGCUCCAGCAUUCAAGUUCCAUUUCAAGGGAGGACGACGUACCAUGAUACUUUCUGUUUUGUCGAGCCCUGCUUUGGUCUCUGGUUUGAUGGUUGUACGUGCUAAUCCGGUACAUUCCAUUUUGUUUCCCAUCCUAGUCUUUUGCAACGCUUCUGGUUUACUUAUUUUGUUAGGUCUCGACUUCUCCGCUAUGAUCUCCCCAAUAGUUCAUAUAGGAGCUAUUGUCGUUUCAUUCCUAUUCAUGGUUAUGAUGUUCAAUAUUCAAAUAGCGGAGAUUCACGAAGAAGUAUUGCGCUAUUUACUAGUGAGUGGUAUUAUUGGACUGAUCUUUUGGUGGGAAAUGUUCUUCAUUUAG